AAGUCGUAACAAGGUUUCCGUAGGUGAACCUGCGGAAGGAUCAUCAACAAAUCUAUUAAAGAAGUUUAGUGGUUAUUCACCAUUAAACUUUUUAACCAAUGUGAAUAGGGGUUUACACCUCAAAGUUAUUUUAUUAUUACAUGUAAUAUAGUAGAAAUUAUUAUAUUUCUUUAAUAAUAAAAAUAAUAAACGAGUUUAAAUAGAGUCUGAUUUAAAAAUUAAACAAAAUUUUAUAAUAACUUUUAACAAUGGAUCUCUUGGCUCUU
rnacentral:misc_RNA from 1 species